GACGAACGCUGGCGGCGUGCCUAAUACAUGCAAGUCGAACGCUUUUUCUUUCACCGGAGCUUGCUCCACCGAAAGAAAAAGAGUGGCGAACGGGGGAGUAACACGUGGGUAACCUGCCCAUCAGAAGGGGAUAACACUUGGAAACAGGUGCUAAUACAGGAUAGCACUAUUUUCCGCAUGGAAUAAAGUUGAAAGGCGCUUUUGCGUCACUGAUGGCCGGACCCGGGGUGAAUUGGCUAGUUGGUGAGGUAGCGGCUCACCAAGGCAACGAUGCAUAGCCGACCUGAGAGGGUGAUCGGCCACAAUGGGACUGAGACACGGCCCAGACUCCUACGGGAGGUAGCAGUAGGGAAUCUUCGGCAAUGGACGAAAGUCUGACCGAGCAACGCCGCGUGAGUGAAGAAGGUUUUCGGAUCGUAAAACUCUGUUGUUAGAGAAGAACAAGGAUGAGAGUAAAACGUUCAUCCCUUGACGGUAUCUAACCAGAAAGCCACGGCUAACUACGUGCCAGCCGCCGCAGUAA
rnacentral:rRNA from 1 species